rnacentral:rRNA from 1 species
UGUGGGAUAUUGCACAAUGGGGGGAACCCUGAUGCAGCGACGCCGCGUGGGUGAAGGAGCGUUUCGGCGAGUAAAGCCCUAUCGGCAGGGAAGAAGGAGGACGGUACCUGACUAAGAAGCCCCGGCUAACUACGUGCC